UGCGUAGGUGGUUUCUUAAGUCAGAGGUGAAAGGCUACGGCUCAAACCGUAGUAAGCCUUUGUAAACUAGGGAAACGUUAGAGUGCAGGAGAGGAGAGUGGAAUUCCUAGUGUAGCGGUGAAAUGCGUAGAUAUUAGGAGGAACACCAGUUGCGAAGGCGGCUCUCUGGACUGCAACUGACACUGAGGCACGAAAGCGUGGGGAGCAAACA
rnacentral:rRNA from 1 species